AGGAAUCUCCUAUCUCUUGUUGUC
rnacentral:siRNA from 1 species